UCUUUUUCUUCUUUCUGCUUCCAAAUCAAUUUCCUCUUCGAUAUCCGUCAUACCAUCAUCUCCUUCAUCAUCGUAGGCCCCUCUAGAAGUUUGGCCUUCUUCAUAUUCCAGCACGCAUGCUUCUUCUUCGUUAUCCUCCCUCUCUUCUUCUUCUUUCUCUUUAUUCUUGAAUUCAUUGGCUAGCAAAUAGUUAUUAGCCAUGACAGGAGGUAACGUACCGAACUGAAUAGUAAAGGACUGAUCUGGAUCUUCUCCAUC
rnacentral:lncRNA from 1 species